GACGAACGCUGGCGGCGUGCUUAACACAUGCAAGUCGAACGGAAAGGCCUGCAGCUUGCUGCGGGUACUCGAGUGGCGAACGGGUGAGUAACACGUGGGUGAUCUGCCUUGCACUUCGGGAUAAGCUUGGGAAACUGGGUCUAAUACCGGAUAGGACAGCUGUUUAGUGUCAGUUGUGGAAAGUUUUUUCGGUGCAAGAUGAGCUCGCGGCCUAUCAGCUUGUUGGUGGGGUAAUGGCCUACCAAGGCGUCGACGGGUAGCCGGCCUGAGAGGGUGUACGGCCACAUUGGGACUGAGAUACGGCCCAGACUCCUACGGGAGGCAGCAGUGGGGAAUAUUGCACAAUGGGCGGAAGCCUGAUGCAGCGACGCCGCGUGGGGGAUGAAGGCCUUCGGGUUGUAAACUCCUUUCGACGGGGACGAAGCGUAAGUGACGGUACCUGUAUAAGAAGCACCGGCUAACUACGUGCCAGCAGCCGCGGUAAUACGUAGGGUGCGAGCGUUGUCCGGAAUUACUGGGCGUAAAGAGCUCGUAGGUGGUUUGUCGCGUCGUCUGUGAAAUUCCGGGGCUUAACUCCGGGCGUGCAGGCGAUACGGGCUGACUUGAGUGCUGUAGGGGAGACUGGAAUUCCUGGUGUAGCGGUGAAAUGCGCAGAUAUCAGGAGGAACACCGAUGGCGAAGGCAGGUCUCUGGGCAGUAACUGACGCUGAGGAGCGAAAGCAUGGGUAGCGAACAGG
rnacentral:rRNA from 1 species